AACGCGAAGAACCUUACCUGGCCUUGACAUGUCGAGAACUUUCCAGAGAUGGAUUGGUGCCUUCGGGAACUCGAACACAGGUGCUGCAUGGCUGUCGUCGGCUCGUGUCGUGAGAUGUUGGGUUAAGUCCCGCAACGAGCGCAACCCUUUUCCUUAUUUGCCAGCGAGUAAUGUCGGGAACUUUAAGGAUACUGCCAGUGACAAACUGGAGGAAGGCGGGGACGACGUCAAGUCAUCAUGGCCCUUACGGCCAGGGCUACACACGUGCUACAAUGGUCGGUACAAAGGGUUGCUACACAGCGAUGUGAUGCUAAUCUCAAAAAGCCGAUCGUAGUCCGGAUUGGAGUCUGCAACUCGACUCCAUGAAGUCGGAAUCGCUAGUAAUCGCGGAUCAGAAUGCCGCGGUGAAUACGUUCCCGGGUCUUGUACACACCG
rnacentral:rRNA from 1 species